UACUCUUGGUGUAAACACCUCCUCCUCCUCCUCCUCUCCUGCGAGGAGAUAAAUCAGUGGGACGGGCGAGAGCGGAUCAUCCGCGCUGUCCUGUCCGCCUGGAUCCGCAGCCCUGUACCAGUUCUUUGACAUUUAACUCCACCUACAGGCGAGCAUCGAGCCCUGCCUGCAGCCAGCAAUGCGCUGGGCGCUCUCGAAAAGAGCUUUCUUUACUUCUAAAAUAUUACAAAAAACUUUUUUUUAUAAAAAGUGUAUUUUUAAGAUACGCUAUUCACGAAGAAAUAAGAUUAUAUAGGCUGGAGGGGAAGGAUUACCAUCAGAAGUUAACAUCAGCCUUCACUAGAGCAGGUCUUUGAGCAUUCACCACGUCUUAAUCACUGGAGUUUUCUCCUCACUACAUGGGAUUUGUCACCAUCAAAAUUUGACUUCCCAGUCCAAAACACAGCACAGAGAAACAUUCUGACCCUGAAAGGGACUUUGCUUCUUUCCCUAAUUAGUAGAAUGAAUCACUAACCAACUGUUUUUCAUGUGAGACAGGCAUGAUCUUGUUCUGACAUCGUUCAAGCUCUUCUGUGCCCAUAGUUUGUGCAUCCCUCUGGGUUCUUCUCUCAAAUGUCAAAACAAGAAAUGCUGCUGAAAAAGUAUGGAAAUUCAAAUACACAAAAGCAAAACAUCAGCCUUUUAAAUACUGUACGUCUUAGCCCUCGGAGGUCUCAGGGUUGCAAUUGGAUAUCACAACAGGGAGAGAAUUUUAUUCUGCAGCCAGAACAGGAACUGGUUAUGAAUUCAGCAGAUCUGGCAGACCCCAACUUCAUUGAAGUCUUCACUGAUGUGAGACAUUUCUUUCUUAAGAGAGUGCAGCAUGUGUUUGAUGAGUGAGUAAAGCUAUUUUUCUUUGGUUCUCCUAUUGAACUUUUUCUCUGUUGGUUCCUUUUACUGACUGCAUUUGAAUUUUUAACACCACUUUAUAUCUUAUUUAGGGACAGAUAGAGUGGAAAACUCUCCACCACUCUCUCCUUUGAUGCUGCAGGAAUAAAAUAUUACUGUAGCAUUUUUCUCAGGAUGCAGUUUAGCAGCCAUUGAGGCAGAAUGAUGCUGAUUUAAAUCAAUAGGUAUUGAACCCUACCUUUUCAUUAUUAGAUAGAUAAUACAUGAUGAGUCCUGCUGUUGUUAUGAGAACUGUAAUAUCGUUCAAGUUCUACUUGCUCUGACACUAAACAAUUCAGAUGGAGAUAAUCCUAAUGUGAUGCUGAGAAUCACAUCCUCCCAGACAGGGACAGCAGCAUCUCACUUUUAGAGCCUGAUUCAAUUUUCAGUUCCCAUCCCAGUCACACUAAAGAGAGCAGAACUGGCCUUUUGAUAUUUAUUGCUUAAUAGACUCGCUCUGCUUGGAAAAAGAACAUUAAAGUGUUUUUCCAGCCAUGUUUUAUAGCCUAGAAAUACACUGGUCUGAACUCAGUAGUUUAAUUUUUCACCACCUGCUCUGCAACAUCAUGUUUUCUUUUUCCUUUAACAGCUAGAGCACCCCACAAUGCUCUUAACUGUAUAUUGUGACUGUGCCUUUUUUUUUUUUUUAAUGAAGUUUUGAGAUUUUUUUUAAUAGCUACAAUUCAAGUGUUAAAUUCAGCAUUAUUCCACUCAAAGUCAAAUUCCCAUCAAAUGAACAGAUGAAUCCCAUCUCUCCUGAACAGAAAAAGAAAGUAAAAAGUUCCCGUAAAAAAUCUCUACCACAUAAAAAGUGGAAGUCCUGCUGUUCAAAUCCAAAAAAUGUACUGAUCUCUAGCACUUAAGGAUAACUUAAAUGACCAGGAAAAAGAAAGAGAGUCUCAAAGCUAGUGGCUAUUUUUGUUUCACUUUUUUUUUUUAAGUCCUCUGAUUUCUUUGCCACAAGAUGCAAAAGCCUGAAUUGCAACAAAGGACUUGUAUAAUUCUCUUUUCUAUUGUCACAGUAAAACUUCCACAGAUCAAAUCAGGAGUUUGUAAAGUAACUGGGAAAUAUUGAAAUAUGUGGAAUGCAUACUUAUUGUUAUGGUUUGGAAAGCCACAAACUGAAAGAUUAAAUGUAAAAUUUUAAAAAAACCAAACCCAAGUAUUUUUUCCAUAAUAUGCUACUUAGUCAUAAAAAGAUAAAAACCAAAAGCAGUGCUGUCAGCUAUUUUAGGUGGACAAACUGAUUCAGAUGAUUUUAAGGCUGAAACUGUAAUUUCCUGGGAACCCACAAGAUGGUAGAGUUCAGCUGAGGAGAGAAACUAGGCUGGAUCUUUCACCUGGACCAUGAGCACAUAACUAGUUAAAAGUGCCAAUUUUGCAGUGUUCCAGAAACUCAAACAAUUUCAACCUUUUUCUUUUUUCUUUUUUUCUUUUUUUUUUUUUUUUUUUUUUUGGGGGGGGGGGGGGGGGGGGGGGGGGGGGGGGGGGGGGGGGGGGGGGGGGGGGGGGGGGGGGGGGGGGGGGGGGGGGGGGGGGGGGGGGGGGGGGGGGGGGGGGGGGGGGGGGGGGG
ensembl:lncRNA